rnacentral:rRNA from 1 species
GUGGAUUAGAUACCCCGGUAGUCCUGGCAGUAAACGGUGCACGCUUGGUGUGGGGGAAAUCGACCUCCCCCGUGCCGAAGCUAACGCGAUAAGCGUGCCGCCUGGGAAGUACGGUCGCAAGAUUAAAACUCAAAGAAAUUGACGGGGACCCGCACAAGCGGUGGAGUAUGUGGCUUAAUUCGAUGCAACGCGAAGAACCUUACCUGGGCUUGACAUGCAUCUCUAAGCGGGUGAAAGCCCGUGACUCCCGCAAGGGACAAUUUGCACAGGUGUUGCACGGCUGUCGUCAACU